AACGAACGCUGGCGGCAGGCUUAACACAUGCAAGUCGAGCGCCUCGCAAGGGGAGCGGCAGACGGGUGAGUAACGCGUGGGAAUCUACCCUUUCCUACGGAAUAACACAGAGAAAUUUGUGCUAAUACCGUAUACGCCCUUCGGGGGAAAGAUUCAUCGGGGAAGGAUGAGCCCGCGUCGGAUUAGCUAGUUGGUGGGGUAAUGGCCCACCAAGGCGACGAUCCGUAGCUGGUCUGAGAGGAUGACCAGCCACAUUGGGACUGAGACACGGCCCAAACUCCUACGGGAGGCAGCAGUGGGGAAUAUUGGACAAUGGGCGCAAGCCUGAUCCAGCCAUGCCGCGUGAGUGAUGAAGGCCUUAGGGUUGUAAAGCUCUUUCACCCACGACGAUAAUGACGGUAGUGGGAGAAGAAGCCCCGGCUAACUUCGUGCCAGCAGCCGCCGUAAUAC
rnacentral:rRNA from 1 species